rnacentral:sRNA from 1 species
GCUGGGUAUGAUGGCGCAUGCCUGUAGUCCUAGCAACUUGGUAGGCUGUGGCAGGAGAAUUGCAAGUUUUAGGCCAAUUUAGGCCUCAGCAAUUUAGGCCCUAAGCAACUUAGUGAGACCCCGUCUCAU